rnacentral:rRNA from 1 species
CCUACGGGAGGCAGCAGUGAGGAAUAUUGGUCAAUGGACGGAAGUCUGAACCAGCCAUGCCGCGUGCAGGAAGACGGCUCUAUGAGUUGUAAACUGCUUUUGUACAAGGGUAAACCUGAAUACGUGAAUUCAGCUGAAUGUACUGUACGAAUAAGGAUCGGCUAACUCCGUGCCAGCAGCAGUGGUAAUACGGAAGAUACAAGCGUUAUCCGGUUUUGUUGGGUUUAAAGGGUGCGUAGGCGGCUUGAUAAGUUAUAGGUGAAAUGUCCGAGCUUAACUCGGGAACUGCCUCUAAUACUGUUGAUCUAGAGAGUAAAUGCGGUAGGCGGAAUGUAUGGUGUAGCGGUGAAAUGCUUAGAGAUCAUACAGAACACCGAUUGCGAAGGCAGCUUACUAAUCUAUAUCUGACGUUGAGGCACGAAAGCGUGGGGAGCAAACAGGAUUAGAUACCCGGGUAGUC